AGCUGGUCUGCCCGCAUGUUCUCAUCUUUUUCAUUUUUAUCUUUCAUUUUCUUUGUCUUAAAUUCCUUUUUGUUGAAACAUAUAACCAGGUGAUUAUGAAGGAGAAAAAACAUAAUUGAGAGUGUACAUUAUCUGCUAGGAGAGCAAGAUAAGAACAAGACGUAUUUAUAAAAAUUUUGAGAGUAAACACGUCUGAGUCAUGUUCUGCUUGCUCUUAUAGGUUUCUUAUUAUGAGCCAAAAAACAUUUUCUGCUGCCUGUACUAUG
rnacentral:misc_RNA from 1 species